AACGGUCUAUACCUGCGGUACCUGCGGAGGGAUCAUUAACGAGUGUAACUUACCCUUUUUUUUAAAAGAGGGUAGUACCUCCUGUCCUUUGUAGGCCCCUUUUUAUUGGGGGGCUUUUUAAGACUUUCUGCUUCGGCGGGGUUAUUCCCGCCGGAACACCCUCAAAAAACUCUUCAAAAACUAAUUCAGUCCGAGAAUUUUUGAAAAUAAAAAAAACUUUUAACAAUGGAUCUCUAGAUC
rnacentral:misc_RNA from 1 species